AUUGAACGCUGGCGGCAUGCUUUACACAUGCAAGUCGAACGGUAACAGGUGUAGCAAUACAUGCUGACGAGCGGCGAACGGGUGAGUAAUGCUUCGGAAUCUACCUUAUGGUGGGGAAUAACUAGCCGAAAGGUUAGCUAAUACCGCAUACGUCCUACGGGAGAAAGCAGGGGAUCGCAAGACCUUGCGCCAAAAGAUGAGCCGAAGUCGGAUUAGCUAGUUGGUAGGGUAACGGCCUACCAAGGCGACGAUCCGUAGCUGGUCUGAGAGGACGACCAGCCACACUGGGACUGAGACACGGCCCAGACUCCUACGGGAGGCAGCAGUGGGGAAUAUUGGACAAUGGGGGAAACCCUGAUCCAGCGACGCCGCGUGUGUGAAGAAGGCCUGCGGGUUGUAAAGCACUUUUAGUGGGGAUGAAAUGUGCAGGGUUAAUACCUCUGCAUUUUGACCUAACCCACAGAAAAAGCACCGGCUAACUCUGUGCCAGCCGCCGCCGUAA
rnacentral:rRNA from 1 species